CUGUGUAUUAAAGCUAGGGGAGACAACUUAUUACUAUUGAAGUUCUCUUUUAUAGAGUACUUCCAAAUAUUUUGUAGGUUCUAAGUGUUUAUAGUAUUUUUACCAUUUUCAUUGCAUUGAGAAUGUGUGUAGUACCAUAGGAUUUUAAAUGAGUACUUAACUCCAUCUAGAAGUAGCCUAAUAAAUGAACAUACAAGUUUCNGCAAAAAAUAANCACCAGGAUAAANCAUACACCAANUUUCACCAAGUUCCAGCAAAAGAGACAAUUCAUACAUGCUGAAAUUACUCAAACUAUGAAAUUUAUAAAACAAAUUCAAUACUAACCUCUUUAGUAGACUUUAUUUCGUGGACUGCAGGUUUGAUAACAAAU
rnacentral:lncRNA from 1 species